GAUGAACGCUGGCGGCGUGCCUAAUACAUGCAAGUCGAGCGAACAGACGAGGAGCUUGCUCCUUUGACGUUAGCGGCGGACGGGUGAGUAACACGUGGGUAACCUACCUAUAAGACUGGGAUAACUUCGGGAAACCGGAGCUAAUACCGGAUAAUAUUUCGAACCGCAUGGUUCGAUAGUGAAAGAUGGCUUUGCUAUCACUUAUAGAUGGACCUGCGCCGUAUUAGCUAGUUGGUAAGGUAGCGGCUUACCAAGGCAACGAUACGUAGCCGACCUGAGAGGGUGAUCGGCCACACUGGAACUGAGACACGGUCCAGACUCCUACGGGAGGCAGCAGUAGGGAAUCUUCGGCAAUGGACGGAAGUCUGACCGAGCAACGCCGCGUGAGUGAAGAAGGUUUUCGGAUCGUAAAGCUCUGUUGUAAGAGAAGAACGAGUGUGAGAGUGGAAAGUUCACACUGUGACGGUAGCUUACCAGAAAGGGACGGCUAACUACGUG
rnacentral:rRNA from 1 species